UUAGUUAAUAAUUAAUUAACAUUGAUCCUGUCUUGUUUAAUAUCAAUUGGCUAUUAAUUAGGUAAUAUUAAAUAUAAGUUUUUGCGUGUUUUAUAAUUUGUCUAAAGGAUAAUUAUUUUAUUAAUUGUAGUUUUUAAUUUUGAGAUUAACAUAAGUAGAUUCAGUUAAUUAAAUUUAGAAUCGUUAAAGGUUGUGCCAGCAUA
rnacentral:rRNA from 1 species